GGCGGUAUCACAUAAAGAGACAGGCUCCACAAGAACAUUCGUUCCUAGGUGCAUGACUUGGAGGGGAGCUCCUUCUUGCUAAGAGUGCCAGUGGAUUCUCCUCCUAUUCCUCGACUCUUUAUUAAGGAGACAGACCGGUAAUCUCGCUUCUGAUAAAAGAUCGGCUAUUCCCCUAAGAAAGCAAAGGGGUAUUCUUCCUUCAUAGAUUCCCGAUGCCGAGCUACUCUUGAUAGGCUUUCCAAGACCAAGUUUAUAGAAUGAUCCCUUGCACAUUGAGCAAGACAGUGUAUUCUUUAGGUUGGAGUAAGAUCAAUGGAGCCGAAAGUAAAGCAUCGGUAGUGAGGCUUUCCUCCAUGAGGAAUUAAUCCUUUGGUCGUCAAUGGGAACUUUAAGACGAGAGCCAAUGUGUCCAAACUUCCGGCUGAAUUGUUGCUUUCUAGUGGCCGACCAUCCUUUCCAGACCUUCUCUAGAGCUCUUCAAUCCUUCCUCCUAAGAUAAGAUAAGAUAAGAUCCAGGCUAACUUUUUCAAGCAAUGGAAUGACUGGUAGGCGAUCUCAGGCUCGCUCGUCGUUGGGUAGUUUCCGAUAGUUCUAUCACCAUUCCAGGCUCUUCGCAUAUAGAGAACUCGAAGGUGGUCGAUGUAAUAGAGCAGGCCUGAGGCCAUUACGUACUUUCUUUGUUUAAGUUAUUAUUGAGAGGGUCUUUCAAUGAUAGCUAUACACAAUGAGCGCUGUUUUCUACAUGCGAGAUGAGAGCGGAUAAGGCUAAAAAGAGAAAAAGCAGGGCUUGGCUUAUUCUAUUCAUCUGCACCACCUGACAGAGAUUCUUUCACAGCCUCGUUCAGCUAGUAGAAUUCUUUAUAG
rnacentral:lncRNA from 1 species